rnacentral:rRNA from 1 species
UACGUAGGGUGCGAGCGUUGUCCGGAAUUAUUGGGCGUAAAGAGCUCGUAGGCGGUGUGUCACGUCGUUCGUGAAAACCUGCAGCUUAACUGUGGGCGUGCGGUCGAUACGGGCAUCACUGGAGUUCGGCAGGGGAGACUGGAAUUCCUGGUGUAGCGGUGAAAUUCGUAGAUAUCAGGAGGAACACCUGUGGUGUAGACAGCUUUCUGGACCAUUGCUGACGCUGAGACACGAAAGCGUGGGUAGCAAACAGG